AGUUGAUUUACAAUGUUCCAUCAAGUUCUGUGAGAAGUUUCUUAAAACCUUUGGAUAUCUUCUGUGGAUUUUUCGUGAUGCGUUCCAUCAGACUGAAGCCACAUCUAAAAGGACACAUCUGUCCUUUUAGCGACAAUCACUUCUCUGAGUUGGCCCUGCCGGGAUGACUGAGAGGAUUGGCGAGCCGCACGUUUCAUCUCUUGAGAAGGCUCUUUGCAUGACUGAAUUCUCUAACUACUUGAUGUGGAGUGUGGCAUUUCUUCCUAGAGGAUGGGAAACCAGCUCGGCCAGCUCUCAUUGCCCUGACUAGUCCUUUCACAUUUCCAGAAUAUGUCGAAAUCAGAGAUGUGGUUUUGGAUGUUUGGGAAGCAAAGAAGCAUAAAAUGGAGCAGAAGGUAAAGCCAGCUUUUGCCUGAAGAUGGAGUUCAGUCUUUUUACAUGUUGUAGCAGGUAAGAGAUUGCUCCUAUAAAAUCGUGUGCUUUAAAAGAAAAUCAUCACUGCCAUCACUCAUGUGCAAGCCACUAUCCUUUUUCACAUUGAGUUUCCAUUAUUCUCUGCUGUUGUCCAAUGCAUUCUUGAUACUUCAGUAAGAGUGAUAUUUUACUUUAUAAUAUACGUUUGAAAAGUAUCACUGGGGGUGUGGGAUGGAAAUCCUAUAAAACUGGAUUGUGAUUGUCAUUGUACAACUAUAAAUAUAAUAAAUUCAUUGAGUAGUAAAAAAAGUAUCAGAAGGAGGAGUUCCCAUUGUAGCUCAGCAGGUUUAAAGACCAGACGUUGUCUCUGUGAGAAUGUGGGUUCGAUCCCUGACCUUGCUCAGUGGGUUAAGGAUCUGGCAUAGCCUGCAGAUUUGGCUUGGAUCUGGUGUUGGUGUGUCUGUGGCAUAGGCCCCAGUUGCAGCUCUGAUUUGACCCCUGGCCCUGGGACUUCCGUAUGCUGCAGGUGCAGCCUUAAAAAGAAAAAAAAAUUAUCAGAAGGAUACAUGCAUGUAGUUCAAAAUAAACAGUCGUGAUAUAUUUAAUAAAGUAGGAGCCCUUCAUGCCUUCUCUUUACGCCAAUGGAACAUACACACAAAGAAAAUAUCCAUAUAUUCCUGUUUUAUUGAAUGAUUUUAAUAUGAAUGGACUCGGAAUUAUGUCAAAUGAUUGUUUUAGAGGAGCAGUAAUCUAAGGAUCAAUGAAUUUGUAAGAAUUAGAAUCAUACAAAGUUUGGGCACUGACCAAAAUGAAGUUAAAUUUGAAAUCAAUGUAUAAACACAUAAUCAGAUAUCUGUAAACUAAAACACACUUCUUUUGAAUAAAACAUGGGUCCAGGAGUUCCCAUUGUGGCUCAGUGGUUAACAAACCCAACUAGUAUCCAUGGGUACGUGUGUUCAACUCCUGGUCUUGCUCAGUGGUUUGGGGAUCCUGCGUUUGCCGUGAGCUGUGAUGUAGGCUGGCAGCUGUAACUCCAGUUUGACCCUUAGCCUGGAAACCUCCAUAUGUCAUGGGUGCGGCCCUAAAAAGACAAAAGACCAAAAAAAAAGUCCAUUGACUCUUUUUUAUUAUAUGACUUCACAGAAGUUUUGUAAUUCCUCAUGAUUCUACAGAUUUCUUGAUAUGUUUAUUUUAUGCUGUAUUUCCCCCUAAUUGCAGCUCUGUGCUUCUUCUUGGCCUUCUUAGGGAUUUGUCUGCUAGAGACAAGUGAUGCUGCCUCACAUCUACUCCUCAUUGGCUGGAGAGAAAACCAUUAUAUCCUUAAAAAUAGCUCUGCAAAAUCUCUUUGCCGUCAUUGUCUUUAUUUGAGUGUUAGAGUUGAGCGUCAGCAUUAAAAGUCAGAGUUUUGGGGAAGGGAAGUAGCUGUAGGAAGCCACUUAGUACGUAAGCGUACCUUCCAUCUUCCAGGGCACCCUGCUCUUGCCUCGACACAAUUGCUCUAAUAUCAAAGGGAGGUGAUAGGAUCAGCAGUGGGAGGAGGGGACAGAGUCACAAUUAGAUCAUGAAUCUUAAACCAGUGGUGGCUCAGCACUAACAGGUAUUCAAGAAGUAAUUAACUAUAAAUGUUAGCAGCUUAAUGUGUUUGCCUCUUGGGAAAUCCAGGGGAUAGGUCUUGUGUGAAGGGGUCAAAUAAACAUCAGAGUCAAAUAAACAUCAUUUGUAACCCAGCUGUGGCCCUGGUCCUGGCUCUAUUCAAUGAAAAUGAUUGAUGACUCCAGAUCCGUUGGUGAGUAGCUGAUCCUCACAGCUUCUGGGUCAACCAAAAGGUUCCAGGGUGUAUUAGCGGAUAAGAAGGAAAUAAGGCUGAGGGUUUGGGAAAUGUACCCAAAUGCCUCCCAAUUGUCUGGGAGCAAAGCCAUUUUUUAAGGUGUCAAAGAGAGAGGUACAACUCUAGUAUAAAAUGAUUGCGGGUCCAAUCCUUAUUUCUUUCCUUUAUCCCAUCCAAUAUUAAAAAGGAUACUUGGCACAGGGAACUAUAUCUGAUCACCUGUGAUAGAACAUGAUAGAAGAGAUGAUAUGAGAAAAAGAAUGUACACAUAUGUAUGACUGGGUCACUUUGCUGUGCAGCAGAAAUCGACAGAACAUUGUAAAUCAACUAGAAUAAAAAAUUAAAAAC
rnacentral:lncRNA from 1 species